ACGCUGGCGGCGUGCCUAAUACAUGCAAGUAGAACGCUGAAGAGAGGAGCUUGCUCUUCUUGGAUGAGUUGCGAACGGGUGAGUAACGCGUAGGUAACCUGCCUUGUAGCGGGGGAUAACUAUUGGAAACGAGAGCCAAUACCGCAUAACAAUGGGUGACACAUGUCAUUUAUUUGAAAGGGGCAAUUGCUCCACUACAAGAUGGACCUGCGUUGUAUUAGCUAGUAGGUGAGGUAACGGCUCACCUAGGCGACGAUACAUAGCCGACCUGAGAGGGUGAUCGGCCACACUGGGACUGAGACACGGCCCAGACUCCUACGGGAGGCAGCAGUAGGGAAUCUUCGGCGAUGGGGGCAACCCUGACCGAGCAACGCCGCGUGAGUGAAGAAGGUUUUCGGAUCGUAAAGCUCUGUUGUAAGUCAAGAACGAGUGUGAGAGUGGAAAGUUCACACUGUGACGGUAGCUUACCAGAAAGGGACGGCUAACUACGUGCCAGCAGCCGCGGUAAUACGUAGGUCCCGAGCGUUGUCCGGAUUUAUUGGGCGUAAAGCGAGCGCAGGCGGUUUGAUAAGUCUGAAGUUAAAGGCUGUGGCUCAACCAUAGUUCGCUUUGGAAACUGUCAAACUUGAGUGCAGAAGGGGAGAGUGGAAUUCCAUGUGUAGCGGUGAAAUGCGUAGAUAUAUGGAGGAACACCGGUGGCGAAAGCGGCUCUCUGGUCUGUAACUGACGCUGAGGCUCGAAAGCGUGGGGAGCGAACAGGAUUAGAUACCCUGGUAGUCCACGCCGUAAACGAUGAGUGCUAGGUGUUGGAUCCUUUCCGGGAUUCAGUGCCGCAGCUAACGCAUUAAGCACUCCGCCUGGGGAGUACGACCGCAAGGUUGAAACUCAAAGGAAUUGACGGGGGCCCGCAC
rnacentral:rRNA from 1 species